UACGUAGGGGGCAAGCGUUGUCCGGAUUUAUUGGGCGUAAAGAGCUACGUAGGUGGUUCGGUAAGUCGGAUGUGAAAUCUCCAGGCUCAACCUGGAGGGGUCAUUCGAUACUGCCGUGACUAGAGGUCGGUAGGGGAGUGUGGAAUUCCUGGGUGGAGCGGUGAAAUGCGCAGAGUAUCAGGAGGAACACCCGUAGCGAAGGCGGCACUCUGGGCCGAUACUGACACUGAGGAGCGAAAGCGUGGGGAGCGAACAGGA
rnacentral:rRNA from 1 species